GGGCCCGCACAAGCGGUGGAGCAUGUGGUUUAAUUCCGAUGCAACGCGCAGAACCUUACCUGGGUUUGACAUCCUCGGAUCGAUACAGAGAUGUAUUUUCCCUUCGGGGCCGAGUGACAGGUGCUGCAUGGCUGUCGUCAGCUCGUGUCGUGAGAUGUUGGGUUAAGUCCCGCAACGAGCGCAACCCUUAUCCUUAGUUGCCAGCGAGUCAUGUCGGGGACUCUAGGGAGACUGCCGGUGCUAAGCCGGAGGAAGGUGGGGAUGACGUCAAGUCCUCAUGGCCCUUAUACCCAGGGCUACACACGUGCUACAAUGGGCGGUACAGCGAGUCGCGAAGCGGUGACGUGGAGCUAAUCUCGAAAAGCCGUCCUCAGUUCGGAUCGCAGUCUGCAACUCGACUGCGUGAAGUCGGAAUCGCUAGUAA
rnacentral:rRNA from 1 species